rnacentral:misc_RNA from 1 species
UAGACCUAGCGGCUAUUGAAGCUCCUCUACACUGGAUAAGACUUUAGUCCUAGUCUAUACGAGUUUUUGAAAGUAAGGGAGCAAUCACCUCUUGUUCUAUCAAGAGUGCAUUGCUCCUUUACUUCUCUUUUUUUUAUUACGACDAGAGUAGUCUUUUAGUUACAGAUCGUUUUUUUGUUACAACAAAAAGAUUUUUAUGGUUUGGUUCAUGAUUCAGUCUCCCUUUUUCUUUUCGUUUUGUAUUCAUUUUGAAUUUAGAUACCUUUGUUUUGUGAAAUUGUUAUUUUCCAUUGAAAAUAAAAGAUCAAAUUGGCUUAA